AGUGAACGCUGGCGGCAGGCCUAACACAUGCAAGUCGAGCGGCAGCGGGUCCUUCGGGAUGCCGGCGAGCGGCGGACGGGUGAGGAAUGCAUCGGAAUCUGCCCUGUCGUGGGGGAUAACCUAGGGAAACUUAGGCUAAUACCGCAUACGACCCACGGGUGAAAGCGGGGGAUCGCAAGACCUCGCGCGAUAGGAUGAGCCGAUGUCCGAUUAGCUAGUUGGCGGGGUAAAGGCCCACCAAGGCGACGAUCGGUAGCUGGUCUGAGGGGAUGAUCAGCCACACUGGGACUGAGACACGGCCCAGACUCCUACGGGAGGCAGCAGUGGGGAAUAUUGGACAAUGGGCGCAAGCCUGAUCCAGCCAUGCCGCGUGGGUGAAGAAGGCCUUCGGGUUGUAAAGCCCUUUUGUCCGGGAAGAAAUCGUCUGGGCUAAUACCCCGGGCGGAUGACGGUACCGGAAGAAUAAGCACCGGCUAACUUCGUG
rnacentral:rRNA from 1 species